UCAAUUCAUUUUCCCCAGUUAAUUUCUUCCUUUAAUUCAUGGUUCAGAUGCUUAGUGUACUAUAGCCUUCAUUGUUUUAGGGUGAUUAAAAGGGUUUUUGUUGAUUCGGUUUUUAUCGGAAUUUGGUUCAUUUAAUUGUCUUGUUCCUCUGUGAAAUACUUCUCAAGCUGGCUAGUCACGGUGUUGGUCUUGCUUUAAUUUGGUUUGCUGUUGCUUAGUUACUCAGUUCAGUAGAUAGCAUAUCAGUUUUAUUACUGCCUUCAAUCAUUGAUUAAUCCUCCUGUUUUUGGCGCUUAAAUUUGAUUAAAAUAUGCAGUAAGUAGUACUUAGAACAUUGAAAUCAUUUGAUUUCAAUGAUAUGCCAUGAUAAAUGAUAAGAGUAUCCUACCACCAGCUGAGCUUAUAACGUUCAUAUCCUUUGUACUUGAACACUUCUACCCUCCGUUCUUUCAAGGAGGUUGGAACAAUAAGGCUUCACUCGGAGACCUGAAAAUAUGUCUUGAAUGAUUAUGGUGCUAUCUAUCUGACUAGAGAUUCUAAAUCUAAACAAGGAAAUCAGCGCUGCUACUGCUAGGUGCUAGCCAUUAUGAGAGGAGUAUUUGAUACAUAGCGCACUCAACCUUGGGGAAUGUCCAAACCUUUUUAAAUUAUUUCCAAGUGUGCCAAGUGAUCAAAACCUAAUAUAGAUCUUUAUGAUUUGAGAAGAUAUUCUUAUAACUUACUUACUAUAUAUAACACGGAGAUUGGAGAGAACAAUUGAUUCAUAAUGAUUUUGGAAUUGUUCAUCUGGCUUCUCAUAUCCUAAUGCAGGUUUUAUUUAUUUAGAGUUCCAUAUAAUUUUUUAUGCUCUCUAAUUCUUGACUGAAAUCUUCAGCCUAAAAAAUAUGGAUGGUUUUGAAGCUAAUCCAUAACGAACAUGAGAAUGCCUAUGUGGACGCAUAAAACUUCCUUCUUGUUCUGUUUAAAUGUUUCUUAUUCUAUCAUCUUGGAACCUAUCUUUACAUAUACGGAUGGUCAAUUGCAGAGUAUUGUUU
rnacentral:misc_RNA from 1 species